rnacentral:misc_RNA from 1 species
GCACAUGGCGGGACUAUAGAUCAGUGACACAGGCUUGGUGCAUUGAGCACAGGUAAAGUGUCUUGCCCAUGAACUUCAUGUUUGAAUUCUCCACAGAACUUGGAACACAACUGACAAGAGGCAAAGACGCUAGCCCAAAUGGAUAUUUUGAUUGGGUUAUUACCAUUCCUAAGGAACAAACAAUAACCAACUAUUGUGAGAAUGCAUUGACCAAAUGCACAAACCAAUGCAGCAAUGUCCAUGACAGAACCCAGACGAAUGCCGCUUUGAGAAGGAUAAUAAAACCAAGGUAUUGUGCCACACCACCGCCAAGUAGCUCGUUCUUUCUGAGCUUUAUACGCAAGCUCGAAGGUGCAAAUAAACAGAGCUAGGAAAGACAUCCCCACGCAUAUUGGCAGAAAAAGAGAGUAAUGCUGGGAGGAAAGCUGCUCGAAAACUAUUGACAAGAGCUCAACAAUGAAGUUGGCAAUAGCAAACAUCCACUCGAGAGCCUUCCUUUUCAAAUUCUGUGUUCUGCAGCAUGUCCUGCAAAUGCCAUUGCCAUGUUCAACAUCCAUGCAGCCGAAAUGAUCAGUCUCAGGUGAAUGAGGUGGUGGGGAAGCAAGACAAGACUGGAUUUCAUUGUCCUCAAUUUGACCCCUUGAAUCCCUGCUGUCCACAUCGUAAGAGCCUGAGUUGGGCUGGAUAUGCUCUUCACUUUCCCUGUGGCUAUUGCCAAAGGGGCUCUCUCUUGAGAAACGAGUUCUUGGUCUGCGGAAUGUGUGCUCUUCCUUGGUCAAAUUCUUCAUCUGCACAUUGAUCUGCACCAGAUCCGUCUCAGAAUCACUUAAGCUAAAAUUGAUGUCAGCUUCAACACCCUUGAAUUUGAUAGAUGUUCGAUCAUAGGCUCUGGCUGCUGCAGCAUGGGCUGUAUCGAAUUCACCUAGGUGGACUAGUUUCCCUUCAUCCCAGCUAUGAGAUUCCCAUCUCUCAGUCCUUCUGUAGAAGGUAACUCCUCUGUUCUGUGAGCUCUUAGACCUAGGUCCCCUCCUCCUCCUGGUAUUUCCCUGUACCUCUCCGCCGCUAAUCUCCUGUCCAAUUUCAAACGAGAGAUUCUCUUGCCCUGCUUGCACCUGAUAAUUCCCAAAAUCCUUGCCCACUUCCCUUCCAUUGCUUCCCAGAGAAAGUUCAUUAGUCACCGGUGCGUCGUUUUCAUUUUCAAUUCCAUUCCCGCCACCUCCUACUUCUACUAUAUCAUCAACAACCUUGUUAUUGUCAUUAGCAGCAUCUCUGAGCAGACUGACGAUUGAUGAGUCAGAGUUUCCCAACCUUUCCCCCUCCUUCUGUUCCGAGUUCUGAGUUGACUCCACCGAUUCCGCAUUCAGAGUAACGUCAGACAUAGAACCUACUUCCUCUCAAGAAUUUCUC